UACGUAUGGACCGAGCGUUGUCCGGAAUCAUUGGGCGUAAAGGGUACGUAGGCGGUCUAGUAAGUUAGAAGUGAAAGGCUAUAGCUCAACUAUAGUAAGCUUUUAAAACUGUUUAACUUGAGAGAUGGAAGGGAAAGUGGAAUUCCUAGUGUAGCGGUGAAAUGCGCAGAUAUUAGGAGGAAUACCAGUGGCGAAGGCGACUUUCUGGCAAUCAUCAGACGCUGAGGUACGAAAGCGUGGGUAGCAAACAGG
rnacentral:rRNA from 1 species